AGGCUGAACUGAAGAGUCAAAUAAAGUGUCAGGUGUGCUCAUGUAUGCUGAUGGUAGUGGUUUUGGAGAGAGAAUAAGAGCAGAUCGAGAUCAGGCCAGGGAAUGCAGUGCAAUAUGAGCUCUUCAUGCUGCUCUGCUCUGUUUACAAAAGGCCACCUCCCUCCUGAGGCGUAAGAAAUGACCCCAGAAGAUGUGCACGUAUUUCAAAAUAGCACGUGGCGUUUUACAGAAAGUGGCAGCUCCUUUCGUGUUCCAGCCUCCUUAAACUAGUCUAGAAACAGAGCUGUCAAUCACA